rnacentral:rRNA from 1 species
GACGAACGCUGGCGGCGUGCUUAACACAUGCAAGUCGAACGAAGUGGCGAACGGGUGAGUAAUACGUGGGUAACCUGCCCUCCUUUUUGGGAUAAGCCUUGGAAACGGGGUCUAAUACCGAAUAAAGGGGGAUGGGCUCGCGGCCUAUCAGCUUGUUGGUGGGGUGAUGGCCUACCAAGGCGGUGCCGGGUAGCUGGCCUGUGAGGGUGACCGGACAGAUUGGGACGGAGAUACGGCCCAGGCUCCUACGGGAGGCAGCAGUGGGGGAUAGUGCGCAAUGGGCGAAAGCCUGAUGCAGGGAUGCCGCGUGGGGGAUGAGGGCUUUCGGGUUGUAAACCUCUGUCGCUAUCGAACGGGUAGGUGUAGAAGAAGCGCCGGCUAACUACGUGCCAGCAGCCGCGGUAAUAC